AUUGAACGCUGGCGGCAGGCCUAACACAUGCAAGUCGAACGAGUGGCGGACGGGUGAGUAAUGUCUGGGAAACUGCCCGAUGGAGGGGGAUAACUACUGGAAACGGUAGCUAAUACCGCAUACCAUCGGAUGUGCCCAGAUGGGAUUAGCUAGUAGGUGGGGUAACGGCUCACCUAGGCGACGAUCCCUAGCUGGUAGGAGAGGAUGACCAGCCACACGGGAACGGAGACACGGUCCAGACGCCGACGGGAGGAAGCAGGGGGGAAUAUGGCAAAAUGGGCGAAAGCCUGAUGCAGCCAUGCGGCGUGUAGGAAGAAGGCCUGAGGGUGGUAAAGGACUUUCAGCGAGGAGGCGUUACUCGCAGAAGAAGCACCGGCUAACUCCGUGCCAGCAGCCGCGGUAAUUC
rnacentral:rRNA from 1 species